AGAUGAGAAGCGCAGGGUUCAAAAAAAUCCAAUAUACCAGCCUAAGGUGUAUAAAACUUUAAACAACAGGUGUAUGGAACUUCGGAAGGCUUGCAAUCAUCCUUUGCUAAAUUAUCCUUAUUUUAAUGACUUUUCCAAGGACUUCCUUGUCAGAUCUUGUGGGAAAUUGUGGAUUCUGGAUAGGAUACUUAUAAAACUUCAAAGGACAGGGCAUCGGGUGCUACUUUUUAGUACAAUGACAAAACUCCUUGAUAUUUUGGAGGAACACUUGCAAUGGCGUCGUCUGGUAUACAGGAGGAUUGAUGGAACAAC
rnacentral:misc_RNA from 1 species